AUAUUCUUAGGCUCGGUCUAGAGGCAGGAAUUGAGUAGUUGGUGAACUCGCUCUAUGUUGUUCGUUCACUCGCGACGCGGUUCCUGUCCUAAGACCGGGUCUGUGAAUAU
rfam:Oryza rufipogon genomic scaffold, chr04